UCAGAUUUAAAUAAAUUAAAAUUAAUAACCUUCUUUAAAACAUAAAACAAGUUAAUCUCUCUCUGUUUUCUAUUUCUUCCCCACGCAGACAUCUCUCCCUCUCUUCGCUCCCUCUCUCGGCCGCCUCUCUCUCCCCCCUUCUCCGGCGAGCGUCGCCGGCUCGCGCCGCUUCCGGCGCGGCGAGGCUGACGCAUCUUCUCCCCUUCCGCUUUCUUCCCUCUCCUUCCUACAUUUAAUUCCCAAAUUCUAAAAUCAAUUCAACCUAGGGUUUUCAAUCUUCCCCAUCAAUUUUACUCCUCUGGAGAAUCCCGGCGAAUAACGUCGCCGCCGCCCCAGCUCGUCGGAUUUCCGCUCCUCCGUCGUUCUCCCUGCCUCAGGUAAGUCCCCUAUCUCUCUUCUUCUCUCUAUAUCCUCCCUCUCAGUCUCUCUCACUCUGCCCCUCUCGAUCUCUCUCUCUGCCCUGUUCGCGGCGGCCGCCGUGAGCCGUGGCUGCGUAGCAGCGCCGGCGCCGCCCUUACUCCUCUUUUCUUCCUCGUUUGCUCUGCCUCCCCCUUGUCUCUCUCUCGUCUCUCUAUCUCUGUCUCUAUCUCUCUGUUGCCAGCCACCGUGGGCCGCCGUAGCGCGGGCAGCACCGGCGGUCAUCGCCAUCAGCUGCGCCCCGCCGUGGUGGCUCGCGGCUGCCGCUGCUACCGUCCCUGUUCUUCUUUCCCUUUUAUCCAUCUAAUUCUCAGAUUUUUACUUCCUCAAACUAAUAAGUCUCAAACUAUUUUCCAUUUCAGGAAUCGAUGAUUCAAGGGAUCUCCAGUUCGUCUACUGCUCAAGAUCCAAUUUUUAUAUGUUAUAAACCUAUUUUCCUUUAUUGCUUAUUGUAAAACUGAGAUUUUGAUGGUGAGGAAACAAUACUGUAUCGUUACUAUGCUUAUGUGUAGCUAUGUCUUUUCUGCUGCUCUUGAUUGUUCCUUUUAUACACAAGGAAUUGAUUGAAUUGUAUACAAGAAAACUACCUGCUUUGCUUGAUGCUGCUAUAAACUGCUGGGGAUUGUAAAUGAUCGUGGUUGAGUCGAAAUUAUUUGGUCAAGUAAUUAUAGUCGUAAUUACUUUUCAUCACAAUAAUAAUUAUUUUGAAUAACGUAGAAAU
rnacentral:lncRNA from 1 species